rnacentral:rRNA from 1 species
AGAUGCGAGAGUAGAGCAUAUCAAUAAGCGGAGGAAAAGAAACUAACAAGGAUUCCCUUAGUAACGGCGAGUGAAGCGGGAAGAGCUCAAAUUUGAAAUCUUCAAGGUUUUACCUUGACGAAUUGUAGUUUAUAGAAGUGUUUUCUGUUGGUGUUUUGGUAAAAGUUCUUUGGAAUAGGACAUCAUAGAGGGUGAGAAUCCCGUAUUUGACCAUUAUUUCCAGCUGUGUGAUACACUUUCAAAGAGUCGGAUUGUUUGGGAAUGCAGUCCAAAAUGGGUGGUAAAUUUCAUCUAAAGCUAAAUAUUGGCGAGAGACCGAUAGCGAACAAGUACCGUGAGGGAAAGAUGAAAAGAACUUUGAAAAGAGAGUUAAACAGUACGUGAAAUUGUCAAAAGGGAAGCGUUUGACACCAGUGUUGUUUUCUCGAAAAUCAAUUAAAAAUGAUGGGAUUUUGCGUUGUAUUGACUUUAUCAGCUUUCUGCACUUUUUUCUUAUCUUUUUUAAUGCACUUUUCGUUUAACAAGUCAACAUCAAUUUCUUUUGUUGUAAAAGAGUCAUUGGAAGGUGGCUUUUUCUUCGGAAAAAGUGUUUAUAGCCUUUGGCUUCUGCAAUCGGAGAGAUUGAGGUCUGCAGCGUAGAUCCUUCGGGGUUAGAUACAUUUGUGCUAAGCUAUAGUUCUUUAUAGACAACUUGUUGACUAUAAUCAAUCCUGUAACUUACUCGCUUAUGCUAUUUUACCUACGCUUAGGAUGUUGACACACGCGCGUGCUCG